rnacentral:rRNA from 1 species
UACGGAGGGGCUAGCGUUGUUCGGAAUUACUGGGCGUAAAGCGCACGUAGGCGGCUUUGCAAGUUAGAGGUGAAAGCCCGGGGCUCAACUCCGGAAUUGCCUUUAAAACUGCAUCGCUAGAAUUGUGGAGAGGUAAGUGGAAUUCCGAGUGUAGAGGUGAAAUUCGUAGAUAUUCGGAAGAACACCAGUGGCGAAGCGGACUUACUGGACACAUAUUGACGCUGAGGUGCGAAAGCGUGGGGAGC